UGUUAUAACAUGUAUUAUGACAAAAAUCUAUCAAAAGUCACAAAAAGUGUUAUUACAUAGUUAUUACAUUGUUAUAACAUGUAUUAAUGACAAAAAAUCUAUCAAAAAGUUUAAAAAAAAUGUCAAAAAGUGUUAUUACACAGUUGUACACAGUACAUGCCAUAAAAGUGGGCGUAAAUUAUUUUUUUGUCCAUGAAAAAAAAAUUCACUUUUUUUUUUCUUAAAUUAGGAUGUUCUCUUCCUUUGUCCUACUCUGGUCUCUUUCUUUCUCUGAGGUGUCCUACUCUUCUCUGAGUUGUCCUACUCUGGUCUCUCCCUUUCUCUGAGUUGUCCUACUCUGGUCUCUCCCUUUCUCUGAGUUGUCCUACUCUGGUCUCUCCCUUUCUCUGAGUUUUCCUACUCUGGUCUCUCCCUUUCUCUGAGUUUUCCUACUCUGGUCUCUGCCUGUCCUUGUCUUUAUACUCUCCUACUCUCUCCUUGCCUGCACUUCCUUUCCUAGCCUCUCUUUCCUAUCUGGGGGGGCCUAUCUAAGUGCACAUACGCUGAUACCGAGCUGGUCUUGAACCCGUCACUGGCGCCUUUAGUGGCGAGGACAAACCAACCGCGCCACCAGCGCACGUACGCAUGCAGCUGUUCUCCGGGUGUAUUUGUCUUUGUCAUUCUGGGUGUAAAGCUCAAAAUAAAUUGACUGUUCUUGUGUUGGAACCCAUAACCUUUGUGUCUCUUAACCAGCGUUCCAUCACACUGAGCUAUCAGAUCUGAUCACCAAGCUUAUUGUUAGUUGUGUAUUUGUCUUUGUCAUUCUGGGUGUAAAACUCAAAAUAAAUUGUUUAUUCCUGUAUUGGAACCCAUAA